AUUAACAUAAAAUUAUACAAAUUAUUUAAGUUUGAUUUAUACUUUUUACUAAAAAAUAUAUUUAUUUAUUAGAUAGAUAUGACUAAAAACCUCAAAUGAAAAUAUUGGAAGAGGAGGCAAUCAUCCUUUGCUAGUGGGAGCUAUUGGAUGGCCCCACAGUCCCCAUUUAGCUCCGCCUCUGAUAUAUACCAUCCUUGGUAGCAAGCCUUCUUCAGUUAAUUAAAAACGUGUCAUCCAUUUACUAAUUUCUGAAACCUUGAGGAACCAGAAGACCCAUUAUAGCCAAGUUCAAAU
rnacentral:misc_RNA from 1 species